ensembl:lncRNA
UUAGUUGUUAAUGCGUGAUUCUCAUCUCGAGAAACCUCUUACCUAUGGGGGUAAUUAUUAGGCCAGAUGCAGGACUAAAAUGUGUACUUAAGGGUAAGGCAGUCAAAGAACUUGGAGCAUUCUGCAGUUCAGAUCUCCCACACAUCCGUGUGAGUAGCCACUUCUAAGCAGCCAGGUAUGUUCAUGUUCUCUACGUGUUUUAAUGUUUCAUGUGGUGUUUAAAACUUAUAUUCUUCACUUUAGACUUGUUUUGUAACUGGUAGUAGUCACUUGUACCUGAGGUAAUACAUGAACAUAAUAAGAAAGAUGUUUUCAGCAAAGCAAAGAGAGACGAAUCCACACAAACCUUCCAGACGCCUAUUCCCUCAUUGGUCUAGGAAAUUACGUCUUUACACACACACACACACACACACACACACACACAAUAUAUAUAUGUCUAUGUUUUAACCAACCAGAGACCGGAGUAAAGUACCCACUUCCGGUUUCAAUCCUGGCGACGUUAUUUCUACAUACACCAACAUCUUCAUUUUACGAGACAAGACAAGAAUUCGUUAUAAAAGACCGACGGAUAACUACAAUUGGAAGCAGGAAGUGUUAAAAUGCGAACACUAAAAACUACAUAACUACAAUUUAACUCACCAAAAUCGUUUGGCCUGGGUUUUCUACUGCUCACCUUAUUUUCGCCGAUAAUAUUUGAACCAUUACCUAACCCGAUAAUGCAAAAAGAGAUGUUUUCUUUGGAAGCAGGAAGUUUUAAUAUGCACUAACACUAAAAGGUACAACCAUCUGGUCUCACGAAGCGUCACCGAGCUUUGCACUCUGGGAUUUGUGGUUUGUAGCAGAUGCCAGUAGGACAUGAAGACCAAGAAAUGCACCAACAAAUCCCAUAAUGCAUUGCGCACCUCUGCAGCUAGCGCUCACACGAAAUGCAGCCGCGCGCCUGUUGCUCAGUCUUUAGCUGGAUCGCCGCUGAACGUGAACUACCUCGUGUGUCUACCGGGCAGAAAAUGUGUCUACCGUGCAGAGAGUGUGUCUACCGUGCAGAGAGUGUGUCUACCGGACAGAGAUGUGCAGCCUUCGUGGUGCUCAAGCCGUCCUGAUGGUUCAGUCGUUGUGGACCUUUAACUCAGUGCCUUGAAAUGGCUCAGUCGUUGUGGACCUGUAACUCAGUGUCUUGAAGUAAGUACUUCAGUGUACACACACACACACACACACACUCUUACGCACACACACACUCACACACACACACUCUUACGCACACACACACACACACACACACACUCUUACGCACACACAUUUAAAUUAUUUAUUUGAAUCCACCAAUCAUAUUCCGUACAGAAAGGAUUCAAACAUUUCUCAGAG